UACAGAGGUCUCAAGCGUUGUUCGGAUUCAUUGGGCGUAAAGGGUGUGUAGGUGGCGCGCUAAGUCGGGGUGUGAAAUUUCGGAGCUUAACUCCGAAACUGCAUUCGAUACUGGCGUGCUUGAGGACUGGAGAGGAGACUGGAAUUUACGGUGUAGCAGUGAAAUGCGUAGAUAUCGUAAGGAAGACCAGUGGCGAAGGCGGGUCUCUGGACAGUUCCUGACGCUGAGGCACGAAGGCCAGGGGAGCAAACGGG
rnacentral:rRNA from 1 species